rnacentral:rRNA from 1 species
UACGUAGGGGGCUAGCGUUGUCCGGAAUCAUUGGGCGUAAAGCGCGUGUAGGCGGUCCGGUAAGUCCGCUGUGAAAGUCGGGGGCUCAACCCUCGGAUGCCGGUGGAUACUGUCGGGCUUGAGUACGGAAGAGGAGAGUGGAAUUCCUGGUGUAGCGGUGAAAUGCGCAGAUAUCAGGAAGAACACCCGUGGCUAAGGCGGCUCUCUAGUACGGUACUGACGCUGAGACGCGAAAGCGUGGGGAGCGAACAGG